GGAUGUGAGAGAUAGUCUGGUUGUAACAUCUAUCACUUCAUUGGUUUCCAGGGUUGAUUUGGCUGAUCUGGCUGCUAGUUCGAAAUGCAUCCCUACUCCCUAUGCAUCCUUCCCUACUCCAUGAAGCUGCACACUUGGUGGAAGAGGACAACCAUCCAAGCUACAAAAAGUAUGCCAUCCUUUUGUCAAGGUUCUUGACUGUGUUGUCUACUAGUUUAUUCCAGAGAUCAAAUCAAGAAACAGAUUUUGGCUGCAUCUACAUGGGUGCCAAGAAUACCUG
rnacentral:snRNA from 1 species